rnacentral:lncRNA from 1 species
GGCAAGUGACUGGUUUGUGGGGCACCAAACUGAAGUGUAGAGUUACAGAAUGUGAACUCAACUGUAUUAUAUCACUUACCUUUUUUUUCUCAUUAAAAGGAAUUUUUCAAGGCAAGGUGCCUUCCUUAGUAAUAGGUUCCUUUUUCUAGCAGUUGCACUUGAAACUACCCAGGCUUGCAGUAAAGGAGUAAUGUCCAUUAAUUCCGACUCUUUGAGAAUUCAGUUGCCUACCCUGGUUUAUAUCUCCUCCAGUAUACAUUAAAUAGAAGGUGACAAGCACCCACAAGAUAUCUUGAGGGGGUUUUCCAAAGAAAUAUGGCAUAGUCCCUGACCCCUAAAAGUUGUACUUGUGUAAACUCCUUGGGGAGACAAGACAUAUAACAAGAACAUUUUAUGAAGGAACCCAGUCUGUCAGGUGCAAAGUACAGACUUAAGGCUACAAUCAGGGGACAGCAGUCACGAGGGUGCUAAAUCAGAGGAUUCUCAGACCUGGCUUUUGAACUUGGUUUUAAGAGACAAGGAUGUGGUCUAGAUGAGACACAGGGGGUGAUGUGGCCCCCUGUGUAGAACAGUGUCCUAUGUCCCAUAUUCCUAUUCAGAAAAAAUCAUCUCCUAUGUUUCUCACAUCUUUAGGUCUCGCUCUUUCUGACUCAACUCUAGCUAAUGAAAUCUCACCUGAGGCUUUGUGAGUGUUAAGUCUUCAAGUAGCACUUUAAGUAACAAAAGGAAUUCUGGGCAGCUAAGAUCAAUACAUUUUAGGAAUAAAGUUGGAGAGAAAAACACUAUAAUGUAUCAUGUUGUGUUUGGCUGUGAUUAAAACUUUUUAUGUCUUCAAGUCCUUUUUGAGCUACCCAGACUUGGAAAAUUUAAUAUGUAUAUCCCAUAGAUAUAAACUCUUAAAGGCCUUUAAAAAUUAUGACAAAAAAGAAUUCAAAUUAAUUUCAGUAUUUGGAUUUGGACUUCAAAUUCAACCUAAUUACAAUUUAGAAGAUAAAGAACUUUAUAGCUAGCAAGGCCUCGUAAUUAUCUUUUCCUUCUUCAUGCAUGAAAUAAAUGACUAUGCCUCAGCUACCUUAUCUGUAAAACUGAUACUAGAAUAGUUUGAAUUGUUGUCUGAGGGUAGAAUGACAUAUACCUUUAAGUUACUUAGCACAGUUGCUGGCACUAAAAAUAUUCAAUAAAUGACAUCCACACAUUAAAACCAAGGGCAAAGCAAGGGAUCUGAGAGCAGUGAGGAUGCUGGGCAGAAAGAUCAAGCACCAUGACACCAGUGGCCGCCAGAGCUAAAAGCAGAAUUUGGCAGUGAAAAGUGGGUCAACACUAUUAAUACGGCCAAGAUGAGAAGAGCAAGAACGUGAGAACAUUAAAGCAGCUUCAGCAGAGUUGCCAGGCUGCAGCCUCACUGGAGAGCAGACCAGUGCUGGGAGAGUCCAAACAGCAAGCCAAGCUGAGCCCCAGUGAGAAAAGACCAGAAGGAGCCAGUCUUAUGUGAGCACUUUGCCCCUCCUGCCCUGUUUUCUUAUUAUCAAAGAAUUCUCUAUAGUGUCCUUAAACCCAUUUUGAUUUUUCAAAAAAGUCAGGUAUAUGCUUAGAGCCAGGAGAAAAUUAUAAGCAGGUAUUGCCUCUUCCUGUAGCUGCAAGGAUUAUACCCUGGCUCUUCCCCAUAAUCUCAAGGAGACCAAACACGGUUCUCCCCAGCAGUGAGACUUCCAGAGUUCGCUGGGCACCAUUCUCUAGCACGGCUGGCACACCACAAACCUAAGCAGCUACUCCCAAGACCAGAAUACUGGGGAUUUGGGAUGGGAAUGCUAUAAAAUCAGGUCGUGAUGAUCGUUGUACAACUAUAAGUGUAAUAAAAUUCAUUGAGUAAUUAAAAAAAAAAAGACCAGGAGGAAUAACUUCCAUGAAAAGACAAACUCUCAUAGCAUCUGACCUGACAUAGUGACCUUGUAUUUUCAGUGCAGUGGAUGCGGGGUACUUGGUAUUUAUCUCAUAAUGUCCACUGGUGCAUUUCAAUUGAGGUAGCUAGAAAUGAUUCUGUACUUGUACCAAUUUGAAAUGAUAUGCUUAUUUUGGAAAGAUGUAUCUCCACUUACAGCAACAGCUUUUAACUACACAGAAUAUAUACUACUUUGGCAUUUCUUUCCAGGUCUGAAUGAUACUAAUUCAAGCCCAUCCAGCUGUCAAGAUUCUAAGAGGAGAACCUCAUGCUGAGGAAGAAUAUCUUAAACUUCAAAGGCUUGCACUGCCCCCAGGCAGUGUACCAGCCUGUUCAAAUGGGGAAAAGAGAUGAACAAGGAGCCUUGGUGGAGAGGCAGAGGACUCACUGAUGGCAAAUCCGGUAUCAACUGCAUCCAUCCCUGACAGACCAUCCUGUUGGAAGGCUGGAAGAGCAAUUGAUGCCACUUUGUUUCUGGUAAACUGAAUGUGGUGCCAAGGCCUGUUCUGCUCUUUGUAAAUAUCUAUACCCUAUGAGUAAGCAACUUUUUUCUGUAAAGGGCCAGGAGAUAUUUUAGGUUUAAUAGUGCAUGUGGUCUCUGCUACAACUACACACCACUUUAUCUGUGGCAGGAUCACAGUAAUAAACAACAUGUAAGUGCAUGUAUGUACCUGGGUUCCAAUAAAACUUUCAGGCCAUAGUCUGUCAUCCCCAAAACUAAAUCAAUAGCCCCAUGUGGGCGAGUUAGGAAGGUGUUAAAUGGUUUCUCUAACAUGUAACACCUCUAUUUCAUGGGCUAUCUAGACCUAUUCCAUGUAGAAAGACGCUUAUAAAUUUUAAUACAAUCCUGCUAUACAACUAUAUGGAUGAAUAUGAGAAAGGAACAAAAAAAAAUACUCAUUUGUAACUCCCUAAAAUUGAUCUAAUAAUGCUAAAAUAUAAAGUUUGUCAUGAGUUUCCU